rnacentral:rRNA from 1 species
GACGAACGCUGGCGGCGUGCUUAACACAUGCAAGUCGAACGAUGAAGUUCCUUCGGGGAUGGAUUAGUGGCGAACGGGUGAGGAACACGUGAAGAAUCUGCCCUCCACUUUGGGAUAACUCCGGGAAACCGGGGCUAAUACCGAAUAUUGAAACAUAAGCGGCAUCGCUGAGUUUUGAAAGAAUUUCGGUGGAGGAUGACUUCGCGGCCUAUCAGCUUGUUGGUGAGGUAAUGGCUCACCAAGGCAACGACGGGUAGCCGGCCUGAGAGGGCGACCGGCCACACUGGGACUGAGACACGGCCCAGACUCCUACGGGAGGCAGCAGUGGGGAAUAUUGGGCAAUGGACGCAAGUCUGACCCAGCGACGCCGCGUGCGGGAUGAAGGCCUUCGGGUUGUAAACCGCUUUCAGCAGGGAAGAAGCGAAAGUGACGGUACCUGCAAAAGAAGCACCUCCGUG